CCUACGGGUGGCUGCAGUAGGGAAUAUUGCUCAAUGGCGGAAACCCUGAAGCAGCAAAGCCGCGUGGAGGAAGAAGGUUUUCGGAUUGUAAAAUCCUUUUUUUAGAGAAGUUAAUGACGGUAUCUAACGAAUAAGCACCGGAUAACUCCGUGCCAGCAGCCGCGGUAAUACGGAGGGUGCAAGCGUUACACGGAAUAACUGGGCGUAAAGCGCGCGUAGGUGGGAUAGCAAGUCAGAUGUGAAAGCCUAUGGCUUAACCAUAGAAUUGCAUUUGAAACUGUUAUUCUAGAGUAUGGGAGAGGUAGGUGGAAUUCGUGGUGUAGCGGUAAAAUCCGUAGAGAUCAAGAGGAAUACUCAUUGCGAAGGCGACCUGCUAGAACAUAACUGACGCUGAUGCGCGAAAGCGUGGGGAGCAAACAGGAUUAGAUACCCGGGUAGUC
rnacentral:rRNA from 1 species